GGUAGAUUUUGCAAGGAAAAGGGAUGGGCACAACAUAUUGGAUCCCGUAUGUUGUCUCCUUCCUCUGGACUAGCAACAUAUCUUACUCCUUUGUGUAUGUUCCUUGGUUUUGUUCCAACGAGGAGAGCAAAAUCAUGGCAAUGAGGGGGGCUUGAAGUUUCGGCUGAGAGUCACAUCCUGCAGAGUGGUGACAGCCCGAUUGCGAGACGCUCUCUGUCAAAACAGCGACUCCUGCAAUGGAAAUGGUGGUGCCCGCCACCGGAUACCAAUUUGUGCUUAGGAUACAGGCUUCAGAUGGCAUUGGUAUGCCUGGUACCAGUGAAGCACGGCUGCCUCUGCCUGCCCUACCGCUCCAAACCUUCUGGCAGGCCACUCGACGAGUUCUACAAUGUCCCUGCACCAUGCGCUGUUGAUCCGACGAAGAAGAUUCAAGUUUAUAGCACCACUGGCCGUCCAUAUGCAGAAUGAGGAGUUGAGCAAUUUGCCCGUUGUGGAGUUGAUACUAUCGUACUACGGCUGAUGAAGCUAUAGGUUUUGUGGACUUAUUGGUCUCACUUCUGAAUCCUCUGAAAUGUUUGGCUCAUAAGAGAAAAUUUUCUUCCUUCUCUGUUAAUAUUGGAAAUGCAAGUGCUUCGCUGCAUAUUAAUUUCCAGUGAGCCUAUGAACUUCAGUUUAGACAGAUGUAUGCUCAGUAACACACGCCAAACUGAAGGGGUAAAUUAGUGUCUUGCACUUGCAUAACACCAGGAGCAACAACAAAGUACAACAAGGGGGAGUAGUAUCAGUGUAUAUAUUUGAAAAUUGCAAUAAUGUCGGUGAUGUGUGCUGUUUGGGUUCUUCGUGGUGCCUCCUACAAGCAGGGGAGGGUGCCGACCUUCGUUAGCGCGUCAUCGCUACACGGCUACCUCUGGCCAUCGGCACGUCGCUGCCAGCUUUGGGCGGUACAAGGAGCGACGGGAGUCCAGGUGACAAGAACAGCAUCGCGCAGGCUAACCACCGGCAUCCAGUUGUGACGAGGACAAAAGGCAUAUUCGUGAAUUUUACAGGGGAGUCAAGCAUAUCAAAUGCAUGUUUACAUACAUGGAUUCUAUACGAUACCGCCGGUAGUUGAGUCACUCCUGGAUGUUUUGAAGUCUUCUGAGAAACCUCAGCAUACUAUGGCACCAGAGCUUCCAUUGAUUUUACUACUUCUCCUAUCUAGUAAAGUCAAUGUUAUGUGUUCACCAUGUAUGUCCUGCUGAAUGAAGCUUCCGUGUGUUAUUUCAGUUUGCCAGCUACUUUCAUUAAGCCAUUCUAGCAAUGGCGUUGUUAGUAGUAGUAGCCCACAGCCACCAGAAAUAUGGAAAGUAGAUUUAGUAUCCA